rnacentral:rRNA from 1 species
AUACGAGGUAAUAUCUUCGAGAGAAACCUUUGUCCUUUGGCGGCCCUUCUCCUUCUCAGAGGAACUUGUUUUUUAAUCGAUAAUCCCCGAUAAUUUUUACUUUUUUUUAGUCUUUAUACCGCCGUCUUAAGAUAAAUAUACGAGUUUUUUUCUGAAAAACUUAAGUUUUUAAGUCAGGUCAAGGUGAAGCCAAUAAAAAAGACUCAAAUGAGUUACUUAUUUUUCCAAAAAAUGGACUGGUAGCUAAAGCUCUCCCGAAACAGGAUUUGAUAGUAAUACUGUUUCAAAAUAACACUAUGAAACAGAAAAAAUGGUGCACAUAUCGCCCGUCACCCUCCUCCAAAGACGAGAUAA